GGCCUGCUAUCUCUUACCCAUGUCUUUUGAGUACCUUCGUUUCCUCGGCGGGUCCGCCCGCCGAUUGGACAAAUUUAAACCCUUUGCAGUUGCAAUCAGCGUCUGAAAAAACAUAAUAGUUACAACUUUCAACAACGGAUCUCUUGGUUCUGGCAUCGAUGAAGAACGCAGCGAAAUGCGAUAAGUAGUGUGAAUUGCAGAAUUCAGUGAAUCAUCGAAUCUUUGAACGCACAUUGCGCCCCUUGGUAUUCCAUGGGGCAUGCCUGUUCGAGCGUCAUUUGUACCUUCAAGCUCUGCUUGGUGUUGGGUGUUUGUCUCGCCUUUGCGUGUAGACUCGCCUCAAAACAAUUGGCAGCCGGCGUAUUGAUUUCGGAGCGCAGUACAUCUCGCGCUUUGCACUCAUAACGACGACGUCCAAAAAGUACAUUUUUACACUCUUGACCUCGGAUCAGGUAGGGAUACCCGCUGAACUUAAGCAUAUCAAUAAGCGGGAGGAAAU
rnacentral:rRNA from 1 species